AGAGAAGGAAGCGUGCACAUACUGUUACAUAUGAAACACAGACAUAUUAUUACAGAAUACUUGACGGUGUGGAGCACUCAAGUUGAAGAUGCAUCUGGAGAGGCACUAAGUACCAUUUAUAACCUCAAAGAGGAUACUUGCAACUGUUUAUUUUCAUUCAAUGAAGUCUAAUCUAAGACUGAAAACCAGAAACAGCUGAGCUUGGAUAGUCCCCUUGACCGGCAUCAAUUCUGCUGCUGUCAGAGAAGGUAAAACACUGCUGUUGAGGAAAAAAGACUGCAGGAAAUAGGAUUGUGCUCAGUUUGCUCCUU
rnacentral:lncRNA from 1 species